rnacentral:rRNA from 1 species
GACGAACGCUGGCGGCGUGCUUAACACAUGCAAGUCGAGCGGUAAGGCCCUUUCGGGGGUACACGAGCGGCGAACGGGUGAGUAACACGUGGGUGACCUGCCCUCAGCUCUGGGAUAAGCCUGGGAAACCGGGUCUAAUACUGGAUAUGACUCCAUGACGCAUGUUGGUGGGGUGGAAAGCCUUGUGCGGCUGAGGAUGGGCCCGCGGCCUAUCAGCUUUGUUGGGUGGGGGUGANGGCCUACCAAGGCGACGACGGGUAGCCGGCCUGAGAGGGCGACCGGCCACACUGGGACUGAGACACGGCCCAGACUCCUACGGGAGGCAGCAGUGGGGAAUCUUGCGCAAUGGGCGAAAGCCUGACGCAGCGACGCCGCGUGAGGGAUGACGGCCUGG